rnacentral:rRNA from 1 species
AUUGAACGCUGGCGGCAUGCCUUACACAUGCAAGUCGAACGGCAGCACGGAGCUUGCUCUGGUGGCGAGUGGCGAACGGGUGAGUAAUAUAUCGGAACGUACCCAAGAGUGGGGGAUAACGUAGCGAAAGUUACGCUAAUACCGCAUACGAUCUAUGGAUGAAAGCAGGGGACCGCAAGGCCUUGUGCUCCUGGAGCGGCCGAUAUCUGAUUAGCUAGUUGGUGGGGUAAAGGCCCACCAAGGCAACGAUCAGUAGCUGGUCUGAGAGGACGACCAGCCACACUGGAACUGAGACACGGUCCAGACUCCUACGGGAGGCAGCAGUGGGGAAUUUUGGACAAUGGGGGCAACCCUGAUCCAGCAAUGCCGCGUGAGUGAAGAAGGCCCUCGGGUUGUAAAGCUCUUUUGUCAGGGAAGAAAAGGUUGCGGCUAAUAUCCGCGGCUCAUGACGGUACCUGAAGAAUAAGCACCGGCUAACUACGUGCCAGCAGCCGCGGUAAUACGUAGGGUGCAAGCGUUAAUCGGAAUUACUGGGCGUAAAGCGUGCGCAGGCGGUUUUGUAAGACUGUCGUGAAAUCCCCGGGCUCAACCUGGGAAUGGCGAUGGUGACUGCAAGGCUAGAGUUUGGCAGAGGGGGGUAGAAUUCCACGUGUAGCAGUGAAAUGCGUAGAUAUGUGGAGGAACACCGAUGGCGAAGGCAGCCCCCUGGGUCAAAACUGACGCUCAUGCACGAAAGCGUGGGGAGCAAACAGGAUUAGAUACCCUGGUAGUCCACGCCCUAAACGAUGUCUACUAGUUGUCGGGUCUUAAUUGACUUGGUAACGCAGCUAACGCGUGAAGUAGACCGCCUGGGGAGUACGGUCGCAAGAUU